rnacentral:miRNA from 1 species
UGAAGCAAGGCGAGGUGAAGAGA